rnacentral:ncRNA from 1 species
ACUUCAGGGCAGGGUGCAAUUCCCGACCGGCGGUACAGCCCGCGAGCCGAAAGGUUGAUUUGGUGAAAUUCCAAAGCCGACAGUAAAGUCUGGAUGGAAGAAGU